AGGAGCAGCACCAGGUGGAAGAAAAAGGUGGAGCUGGAGGCUCGGAAACGCCGUGGGGAAGCCCUGGAGUUCCUCAGGAGGGUGUACUGGAGCACCGUCUGACCCAGGGAGAAGGAGAACAUGCCCAAGCUGGCUAGCUUCAGCACCACGCACCUGCGGACGAGGCGUGCGUCAUGCGAGGAUGUGUCAGAGGGUCUGGGCCCCAUCUAUCCAGGCUGCUGCCCGAGAUCCCGAGUCCUGGGCACUGCCCCUCUUUCAAAGCUCAACCUCCGUCCAGCCUGCUUUAUCUCCCACCAGUGUUUCUCAAAACUCGUUCCUCAAACCUGAUUCUACAGAGUCGCAGGGAGCGGGUCCUGUUUCUAAAUCAGUUUGGGAAAUACUGCGUCGGCCAGCUAUACUCCUUGCUGCCAGCUUUACGAUUUACUCUGACAAGUCCCACAAGAGAAACUCCACACCUUCCUGAGUCCUCAGA
rnacentral:lncRNA from 1 species